rnacentral:rRNA from 1 species
AAAGCUCUUUCGCCUGUGAAGAUAAUGACUGUAGCAGGUAAAGAAACCCCGGCUAACUCCGUGCCAGCAGCCGCGGUAAUACGGAGGGGGUUAGCGUUGUUCGGAAUUACUGGGCGUAAAGCGCGCGUAGGCGGACAUUUAAGUCAGAGGUGAAAUCCCAGGGCUCAACCCUGGAACUGCCUUUGAUACUGGGUGUCUUGAGUUCGAGAGAGGUGAGUGGAAUUCCGAGUGUAGAGGUGAAAUU